UACGUAGGGCGCAAGCGUUGUCCGGAAUUAUUGGGCGUAAAGAGCUCGUAGGCGGUCUGUCACGUCGGAAGUGAAAACCCGGGGCUUAACCCCGAGCCUGCGUUCGAUACUGGACGGCUAGAGUCUGGUAGGGGGAUCUGGAAUUCCUGGUGUAGCGGUGGAAUGCGCAGAUAUCAGGAGGAACACCGGUGGCGAAGGCGGGAUCCUGGGCCAGUACUGACGCUGAGGAGCGAAAGCGUGGGGAGCAAACAGG
rnacentral:rRNA from 1 species